CCUACGGGUGGCAGCAGUGGGGAAUAUUGGACAAUGGGCGAAAGCCUGAUCCAGCCAUGCCGCGUGUGUGAAGAAGGCCUUCGGGUUGUAAAGCACUUUCAGUGGGGAAGAAAGCCUUGGGGCUAAUACCCUCGAGGAAGGACAUCACCCACAGAAGAAGCACCGGCUAACUCCGUGCCAGCAGCCGCGGUAAUACGGAGGGUGCGAGCGUUAAUCGGAAUUACUGGGCGUAAAGCGCGCGUAGGCGGUCUGAUAAGCCGGUUGUGAAAGCCCCGGGCUCAACCUGGGAACGGCAUCCGGAACUGUCAGGCUAGAGGGCAGGAGAGGAAGGUAGAAUUCCCGGUGUAGCGGUGAAAUGCGUAGAGAUCGGGAGGAAUACCAGUGGCGAAGGCGGCCUUCUGGACUGACACUGACGCUGAGGUGCGAAAGCGUGGGUAGCAAACAGGAUUAGAUACCCUUGAAGUC
rnacentral:rRNA from 1 species